ACUUGAGCUUCACGUGGUUGUGGAGGUAUGAGAGCAUGAGUGAUGCACUAGUAGUACUGGGGCCGGCUAGCUUGCCCUCUGAAGGUGCAGCCCUGGCCGCCUGUAUUGCACUAGUGAGCCCGUGAUCCUGGGGUUGCCAUCUCCAUGGACUGAGAGGUCGUGAUAGCCCUGCCUUAAAACACUGGCCUUGACUCUCCUGCCUUCCGUUGGGUGAACUCAGUGCAGAGCAUGGAGCAGGUCACGAUGCUCUCAAGUUGGUUCCCUCUGAGCGAGGAGCUCUUGGUGAACCUGAGCAAGGUGGGCGAGUAUUGGUGGAACGCCAUCCUGGAGGGAGAAGAGCCCAUCGACAUUGACAAGAUCAACAAGGAGCGCUCCAUGGCCACCGUGGAUGAGGAGGAACAGGCGGUGUUGGACAGGCUUACCUUUGACUACCACCAGAAGCUGCAGGGCAAGCCACAGAGCCAUGAGCUGAAAGUCCAUGAGAUGCUGAAGAAGGGGUGGGAUGCUGAAGGUUCUCCCUUCCGAGGCCAGCGAUUCGACCCUGCCAUGUUCAACAUCUCCCCGGGGGCUGUGCAGUUUUAAUGACCAGAAGGAAAGGAAACCCUCGCCGGUGGGGAGGCAGAGCCUUAUCCUCGGCUGCCCUUCUUGGCUCCCUGCAUUCCAGGGACUUGCUCGUCUUGUUUACCCCUAGCCAUCCUUUCUUUCAAGGGUGAACCAGGCCUUCCACCUUGACCUUGCAUCUCCAGACUGUUCCAGAGAAGGUGCGGGGCCAGCUGCUA
rnacentral:sRNA from 1 species